AUACUUAUCUGGCCGGGGAGAUACCAUGAUCACGAAGGUGGUUUUCCCAGGGCGAGGUUUAUCCAUUGUACUCCAGAUAUGCUGACUCCCGAGAUUUCCCCAAAUGUGGCAAACUCGGCUGCAUAAUUUGUGGUAGUGGGGGGCUGCGUUCCCGCUCUCCCCUG